GGAAAGAGUGUUGAUCUUACUGGAUUCAGGAAGUACACACAACUUCCUGGAUCCCUCCAUUGCUAAGAAGGCUAACCUCUUGGUGGACCCAACAAACAAGCUGAAAGUCAUUAUAUCAAAUGGAGAUAUGAAAACCUCCAGAAGUUUAAA